rnacentral:tRNA from 1 species
GCUACGGACUUAAAUAAUUUGAUCGAAAAUCCGUUGGCUUUAUUGACCGUGAGGGUUCAAGUCCC